UUUAGCUUGGCAACUGAGGCUUAGGGGGGGAACUGGAUGGAUGAAAGGGCCGACAUGAUGUCGGCGUUCGUCGAAGCUGCGAGGUUGUCCGUUGGAGCUGCGUGGCUGGCCGCUGCAGCCAUAACUUGCGCCCUCUUGAGCGUCUGGGCCGCACCUUCUGCCGAGGCUGUACCGGAAUUGCUGGUGGUAUGUUUACGUUUUACUGCGGCUUUUCGAGGAGUGGAAGGUGGAGGAGUGCUUGCAGGUGGACGCUGGGGCUUGGAGCAGCUCAGGAAAAGCCCAAACAAUUCCCGGUGAGAGGCGCCGAUCGGGGCGGGAAUGUUGUUCAUAAACAGGAACUGUAGCAACUUUGGGAUCGGCCAUUUGUUAAUCGAAGGAUCCGGCGUAUUCUUUCUUGCUAACCUGGAGCUUCUGCGGAGAGAGGAACCUCCCUCCAGGCCGAUCGCAUCCUCUGCAUCGGACUCUUGAGGUGACUCCAAGAUGCAGUCGAACUGCGGCUCGUCCUCGUCGUACGCUGAGGACAUGGUCACGAGGAGCAACGAGGUAAGAACUAACACAAACGUUUUGGCAGGCAUACGGAAAUUGCUGGUUAGCUGUCAGAGCAGAGGAAGAGGCUGGGUUAGUGCAGUUUAAAAUAAGGCGCUCUAUAGGCAAAGGACCAAUAGGAGCUUGGAGUGAAUCAGCUGACUAUCAUCUCGUUGAGGUGGCUACUAGCCAUUGGCUGCAGAUCAGCGCUUGACGUCGUGUCCUGACAGAACUAACGCUAUGCUUCAUUUACCACUUUGUAGAAUGUUUUUGUACUUAAUUUUGACCUGUUGCCCCGUUUGCCUUUGGCUUUUGAGAUUACUCCUAUGGGGAUGCAGAAGAGAAUAAUAAAUAUGGGCUAAGAAGAGCUUUACCCAUCAUACAACAUAGGGCAAAUGGAAUCAAGAUGCAUUAAUCCUUCCAGAUUUCCCACAGAGCUGUUUUUAUGAGAAAUGUGUCUAAUUCUCCCACACUAAUGAACUUAACCUGUACAGACCCUUGGGUACAGCGAUGUAGCUCAAUGAGCUGCACAUACACGAAAUGAAAAGUUUUUUAAAAAAGUGUUUACAGUACAUACGCAGAAGUGAGGAAUAAAAUUAGACAGCCAAGCAGGCUGACUACAUCGAGACAUGCGUCGGUUGUAAAAUAUUUGUCGGCUAUAACUUACGAAUCUAAACGGUCCGUGAUACUUAACCACGCUGGCUUUCACAAUGGCAACAGUGUUGCCCCUGUUUUGAAUUUUCCCCUUGUACUCUUCGUACAACUCCAUGAGGAGUGUUUGCUCCACCACUGAAAAAGACUCCGCUCUGCCUUUUUUUCCAUGAUCUCGUCAUUUUGACAAUCGAUACGUUGGGGCUUUUUAUGUACCGCAGAGGCGCGCAUAGCCGCGGCUUGGAUCAGCCUGGCUAGAAUAAGCAUUGAUGAAAAACAGCUGAGCCUUGUUAGUGGAACAAGUCGCAGCUAAGAUUAAAGUGGCUGCUUAUUCAAGCCACGCUUACCGGCGAUAGCCCAGCCUUCUUUAGCCAGCUUCGUGUGCAGCGGCGCGGGGUAUGGGGGUUGCAGGGGCUGCGUGAUCACAACAUCUUGGUACUAUUUAGUAGCAGUGCAUGCCCUUUGUAAAAACCCUGGUAAAAACAGUUUUUCAGAACUGCUUACUUGUGCUUCCUACCCAUUCGGCCACUGUAAUAACCGUUGUUUUAGCCUUCACGCAACAUUUUUGUUCUUAUUCAUGAAACGCUUAAAUCGGGGACAGUUUCGGAGACAGCUUUUGCUGGGGACAGGUCAUCCAAUUCGGGGACUGUCCCCGGAAAUUGGUGACGUCUGGUCACCUUACACAACAGGGCUUCACAAACUUACAUCUUAACAACAAAAUUAGGGCCUAUUUAAUAAUAUCAAGUCAUCUAUACAGUAUGGUAAAGCAAUAGUGGAAACAUAACAAACCUUGCUUUGUACGUCUCAGAGUUGUGGCAUCAAUCUGGUGAGUGGGUAGUGCUUGGUUUCAAAUGCCCAAACAUCUACCCAAUGUGUUGGGUAGUCCACAAUAAACCAACAAAACUGUAUAGAAAUUUCAACCCAACAGCUAAUAACUCUGUUCCCAACAUAAAUAACCUUGUGAAGUGGGUACUCAGAAUACCCAACUCCAUGAAACUAACCCAAAUAAACUGAACAACAGGCUCAAACUAGUGGUUGGGUUUUGAUGUUCUCAUACAAUUAUUGCUAUCUAUCAGAUAUCAUUAUUGUAGUUAAGGUCUCCUAUUAUGGCAUUUUUUUAUCAAGUUUAAAUCAGUCCCAGAGGUCCCAGGAUAGUAAAUUUGAAGUUUGUUGUCUAAAACACUAGUUUAUUUGUGGAUAUCAGCCAGCCUGUACCCCCUCUUUUUGAGCUCCACUGGGAACGGGCUGAUUCUGUACCUGUACCUUUAAAUGAUAAUGAGCUGUGUGUAACCUUGCCUUUGCUCCCCAAGGCCACUCUGAGCUGCUGUUGUUGUGCCGUAGAAUGCACCCCCUGACAGGAACGCAGUUGAAAGGACAUAACAAGGUGAAUAAUCCAAGGUUUCCUUACCAUUGGAUGGAUUCAAAAGCGUGUGCCUUUAUGAUUUCAUUCAGGCUAUUCAGAUAUGCCGAAAACAAUAGUCCUCUGAUUUGGAAUAUUUGCUGUCCUGAAAAUAUGACGAUCUCUACCGUGACAGAUACUGUACAGUUUAUAUACCCAGGUGCACCUCUAUGUGUGCUUUUUUGAAAGACAUAAAAACAGAACGAAAGUUUGCUGCUCUAUUUGACAUGUUGUCAUGAUCCGACACUUGUGUUUUUUUUUAAUAUGAGAUCAUUUUCUUCCAUUUUAAGAAGCUAAUGAGUGGAUGGGAUGCAAGGGUGUAUUCUACGGCAUAACACCUACACCGGCACAGCCGUGGGGGUCCAGGUGUGGUGGUCUGGAGAUCUUCUGAGAACCUCUUCAGAGGUCUGCUAUAGAAGCGAGUCCAAAGAUUAAUACCAACGAUGGUAAACACACGCGAUUGCAGCCAAAGCACUCGUCAUAGGGGUGGUAGUAAAGCAACAUAUAAUGUUCAAACUUACAGCUUCCGCGUUUAAAGAUGAGUCCCUGUAUUUUUUUUUUCAUCCAUUCACUCCAAAUGGCCUGAAACAUGCUCUCCAAUAGGUCCUCAGCAGUCAUUUUAAUCCUAACCCCUAACCCUAACCCUAACCCCAACCCUAACC
rnacentral:lncRNA from 1 species